rnacentral:rRNA from 1 species
CAGUCGCCGCGGUAAUACGAGGGGUGCAAGCGUUAAUCGGAAUUACUGGGCGUAAAGCGUGCGUAGGCGGUUUGUUAAGUCUGUUGUGAAAUCCCCGGGCUCAACCUGGGAAUGGCAAUGGAUACUGGCAAGCUAGAGUGUGUCAGAGGAUGGUGGAAUUCCCGGUGUAGCGGUGAAAUGCGUAGAGAUCGGGAGGAACAUCAGUGGCGAAGGCGGCCAUCUGGGACAACACUGACGCUGAGGCACGAAAGCGUGGGGAGCAAACAGGAUUAGAUACCCCGGUAGUCCCUGUCUCUUAUAC